AGGAACUUAUGAUACGGGAAAGGGCCGAACCAAGCGAAUCAAAGUACGUCUUCCGCCGCGAUCUGGAAACCCUAAUCCUUCUACGCUUUAUGCAAAAGGGCCUGUCGAUCUCCAAUUCGCCGUUCUCUCCAAUCCAUUGAGGGGAUUGUUAUGGCAACGGAAUCGGCUUCGGCUUCGAGCUCGAAUCCCUCGUCGUCGUCCCUGUACUCCUACCCGGCCACCACCUACUUCCCUCUCCCGUUUCAUCUCCAGAACGCCGACCCUGCGGCUCAGCAGCAGUAUCUCCCGCCGUCCCAGAUCCCACCGCCCGUUAAGAUCCCCACGAUGGCGCAGACGUUCCCCGUUCCGCCCCCCGUCGUCGCCGGGAUGUAUUCGCUUCCGCAGUUCCAGCAGGCACAACAACUUUUUCAACGGGAUGCACAAACCAUCACUCCAGAGGCUAUAGAGGUUGUGAAAGCUGCACUUGCAAAUAGUGAAGUUGACCAUAAAUCAGACACAAAAAAGAAAGCAAUACCACGUAAAGCAGCUGGUCAGAGUUGGGAGGAUCCAACUUUGGCAGAAUGGCCAGAGAAUGAUUUUCGAUUAUUUUGUGGAGAUCUAGGCAACGAAGUCAAUGAUGAUGUCCUUUCAAAAGCAUUUUCAAGGUUCCCCUCCUUCAACAUGGCAAGAGUGAUAAGAGACAAGAGAACUGGAAAAACCAAAGGUUAUGGAUUUGUCAGCUUUUCAAACCCAUCAGACCUUGCAGCAGCUGUCAAAGAAAUGAAUGGAAAAUACGUUGGAAAUCGUCCUAUAAAGUUGCGUAAAAGCACAUGGAGGGAAAGAACAGAUGUUGAAGCUUUGGAAAGGCAAAAGAAUUACAUUCAGAAGAAACCAAAACUACCAAAGAAAGGUAUUCUGCACAAGUGAAGCUUCAAGAUCACAACCUUGACUUACGCAUGAAAACUUGAAAGAGUGGAUGGGAUGUUGGUCUUUAUGGUUGUCGAAUGCAAUGGCAGCUGGGCAUCAAUUAGACUGCUACCACAAGCGCUUGUGGAUGUCGGUAUUAUAUCGGUUCGGUUAAUUACGUUUCCAUUUGCGUUGUGGAUCGACUGGUACGUACGGUGGUAGCUGGUCAACGUUUUUGACUGAUCGAAAGGUGACACGCGGAAUCGCAGAUGAUAAAAUCAAUCGACCAGGAUUUUUGGACUAUAAUAUGGCUGUCCCUCGCACCACUCAGUAAUUGUCACGAUCGGUGAAUCUACUCUCAGUCGACAUUGAUUGUUACGUGAGAUCCAUGUCAUUCUCCAUCAAUCUAUUUUUUCCUUCCCAUCGUUUAAGGUGGUACUUGGAGAGCAUGGCAUUUUUAUCUCGAACAAUUUUACGAAUAUGGGUUCGAAUCAUAUCCAAUUGAUUGGGACAUCGACGAUAUUUUUUUCUAACAUUACUAUUUUUUAUGAUGUGAGAUUAAAUUCGGAUAUUGUAAUUUGCUUACAUGGUGCAUGUCAGUAGAAGACCUGAUUAUGGUUCGAUUUGAACCAAAAUUAAAUUGGUUCGAUGGUUCAUCGAUUCCAAAC